rnacentral:lncRNA from 1 species
AACCCCUCAUUGGCCAGUGAAUUUUGGAAAUAAAUUUGGGUUGUAUUUAAUUGCACCACUGUUGCCCAGACCCAUCAUCACAUCACAUACAGCAACACACCCACUAUAUUGUUUUAAAUCAAUAUGAAACAAAUUAAUCUACCAGUCACAAGUAAAUAAAACACUAGAAGUCUAGUAUAUAUUACUAGGCUAAAGACAUGUUGGCUGAGCUGCAUUCAUUUCUGCAAGUUCCAGAGACGAACCCACUUUCUUAUGUUUUCCAGCUUCUAGAGGUGGUCCAUAUUCCUUGAAGUUUAGAAUCAGUAGGGAGCCAGUGAACAUGUUUAAUUAGAGGAGUGAUAUGAUCAGAUGUAUACUUUAAAAAGAAAAAAAAAGUAUCUAACAGUCAUAGGGAGAACUGAAAUGAAGCAAGACUGAAUAAAGCCAGACCAGAUUUAGCAGAAAGAUAAUUUAGACAAAUUUAAGAAUGGCACUUCCAUUUCCAACUUGGACAACUGGGAGUUUAUUGGUUCAAAUCACCAAGAUCAGAGACCUAGGAAAAACAAGUUUCUAAUUGUAUGAGGAGAGGGAGUCCAGCUUCGAUCAUUAUGAAUUUGAGAAUUCCUGUGGGAUAGGCUGACAGGGGAGAGGAUUGAAAAGCAUCAGUGUGGAAAACACUUCCUGUUAACGCAAAGCUUAAGAGGAGUGACCACUUGCCAGUCAGACACUGGGCUUUAAACUUGCAAUAUUGUAAUUGAUUCAAGAGAUGGGAAAACAUCAACAGCAGGCCAAUUUCCCUCCAGGUUGUGGGGAAGAGAUGAUCAGGGUAGAUGCUCUC